rnacentral:lncRNA from 1 species
UUAGAUAGUAUAUUAGUUAGGAUUAUCAGUUAGUUGUUGUUAAUUAGAAUAUUAUAUAAACUCUUGUAAUUAACAGAUGAUUCAUUGAAUCGAGUUUCAUUUUUCCCAAAUGAGUUUUGCUUUCACAGAUGAUUCCAAGAUGGUAUCAGAUGAUUCUGUGAAAGGUGAAAAUAACGCGAUUUCUUUCCGACGAUUUUUGUGAAGAACGACGCGUCCAGAUUGCCGCGAGUCUUCCAGAUCGCAAGGCUUCCAGUUCGCUGCAGACCAACGCAUUUUGCGAGUCUUCCAGAUCGUUCCAGUCACUGCAGAUCGCUCCGAUCUCUGAUUUCAUACGCACUUCCAGAUUGUUGGUUGCAGACGGAUGCGGAUUCUGAUUUCCAGAUCGCAAUAGUCGUUUGGUGAAGGAAAUCGUCGACUGCAACCGAUUUUCGCAAUCGUGGAUUGCCUGCACGCAAUUUCGGUUUGCACAUUUCGAUUUAUUUCUUUAUUUUUUUCAUUUCCAUUUCGAUUUCAUCUGCUGCGAUAGUUCAUUUGCGAUUUCUGCUACGAUAGUUUAUUUUUUUUAUUAUUUCUUUGAUUCGUGGUUUAUAGUUGGCGAUUAUGAUUGAAAUAGAAUUUCUGUAUUCAAUUUCUGUAUUCAAUUAUGAUUGAAAUCGAUUAUUUCGGAUUAUGAUUAAGAUCAAAAAAAAUUCUGUAUUCAAUUGCGAUUUCACUGUUCAUUAAUUUGAUGAUUUCAUUUUUUAUCAAUUACGAUUUAUCAAUCGAUUUUUUUGAUUUGUUUGCAAUUUAUAGUGUGAUUUCAAUUUGAAAUUUUGUGUUCUCAGUUUGAUUUGCAUAGACAUUUCAAUUUUAGUUUCUGAAUUUUUUUUUUCUUUUAAAAUUUUUUUUUCUGAAAUUUUUUUUUGUUGAUACUACCAGAUUUCAUUUUGUUGAAAUUUUGUAUCAUAUAGUAUUGAUUAAAUUUUAUUCGGUUUUGUGAUUUCAUUUUGUAUCGAUUAAAUUUAAUAUUCCAUCAUUUUUUUUAUUAUCGAUUUCAUAUUUUCGAAAAUAAAACAGUUAACGAAUUUCGUAUUUUUUUUCUAUUGUUUCUAAAAUUUGUAUAAGUUUACACUAUUUUUUCUGUUAUUUUACACUAUUUCCUAGUAAUAAAAUAGUGUUAUCUUAAUUUUUUUUCUGUAAAUUUCUUUCGGGAAAUUUAUUGUAAAUUUUACACUAAAUUCGUAAAUUUACGUUAAGUAAUUAUGGAUUUCAUAUACUAAGUUUUUUUUUUGCAAUCUAGUUACGAUCGUAUUUCUUAUGGAUCUCUGAUAUGUAUAAAUUUAUAGAUCAUAUAUAAAUUUACAGAUUGUGUUUCGUCGACUCGGCCAAGAUGAGUACGUCAUCAUUACAUUCGUUGUACAUAUUUUAAGUUAUAAACUGGAUCCGAAAUCAAUUGGAACGGCCAGAGACCUACCUGUUCUGACAUGCCCAAUUUGAGAAUUUGUUGCGUCUAUAUCGGCUGACUGAUUUUGUGAAAAAAUAUCAAAUCAUACCAAAGGAAAAAUUGGAUGAUGGAUCGACGAAUCCAAGAUUUGAAAAAUGAAAAGAAAAGAACUGGGUAGUCCUCGACUGGAUACAAGCAUCUGUUGGUCCUCCGAUGUAUUCACUUGUUAUGAACCAUGAAUUAUGACGAGUUGCUCGAGAGUGAGAACAAGGGAUGGAGACAAAUGAUUUAGAAUGAUUAAGACUGAAUGUGAUUAUCUCCAAAAUGUGUGAUUUAUAUUUGUAGUUCAUCUUUAUUUAU